ACACACACACACACACACACACACACACACACAACAGGACCAGGAGGCUAUGGGACACUCACUUGAGAUCAGAAAUAUAAGGCCUGGCUUUUCACAUAUCACUUGUUACCUUCAGACAGUCACAUGGACAAGUUAAACUUAUUUCCCCUAAGUCGCUCUGACCCACAGACCUUAAGUGUGUUCGAAGCCUUUUACCAUCUGAGACCUGGCAGAGGUAGAGCAGGGUCGUCCAAGGUGGUGAGAAUCAGAGUAAAUGAGAUAAAUUCUGCUUAGAAAGACAGCUUAUCAUCCCUUCGAUUUGCUCACUCUUACUCUCUCCCCCUCCCUCCUUCUCUCUCUUUGACUGAGUUGCCUCAGGGACGGUGGUUUCAAAACUAGCAGCUGCAAACUUAUGAAGGAAAAAAACUGAAACCACAACCCUGUCUUGUGAAAACCGUGUGCCAGUCUAAAAGUGGCAGUCCAUGUGGGGGGAUGGGGGCCUGCUAACGUUCAGGGCAUAGCAGUAGGCAGCAUGGGAUGUCUAAGUCAGGUCUUUAGGGUAAAGAGGAAUUGUUCCCUGCUCUAGGCAAGGGCGAGCAGGGUACUAAGGACAAGGUUGGGGGGAGAUGGAGGAGGAGGAGGUCUGGCCAGGAGUUUAGCCUCGUGGUGGUGGCGGCUCUGGCACAGCCUGAGACCUCUGAAACAGUCAGGUUCUCGAAUGCAAAGCAGCCCAGCUGUAACUGCCACAUUGCUGCUGUCUUCAUCCAGAAGACCAGAGGGGUCUAUCCUUCCUGCCUAAAUCACCUGUCGCUUCUGAGGCAUGCCUGGUAGAGAUACCUACCAUUCCACUCCUGGGUCAGACCUAUCCUCUUCCAUCUCCCCACAGAUGCUCACUAUACUCACCUACGUAUUUACCCUUCUAAAACAUAUACAGUAAGACAGAAAGAUGCCUCCUGAAACCCCACCUCAAAUUGCCACCCCAUCAUCCCUUUCUAUGCACAAAUCAUUCCAAGCAUUUAAGGAGGGAAAUGCAAUGAGAAAGACCCUCUUAGAAAGAACAGAUCCUAUGUGUCCCCAGGCUGGACCAAGGCAGUCCUUAAAGGCUUCUUCUGAUAUGAAUAUCAUAAGCUGGAUAGGUCUGGCUUGAACUAUUUCUCCUUCUGCUUAUAGUUCUUGAGAGGAGCCUCUUUGGCAAGAACAAGACAGAUAUUUGAGUCAUCUGACCAGGUCAAGAGCUUCUCCACUCUGAAUAGGAAGCCUACAGACAGACAUAGCCCUAGCCAGGUGACUCAGGUACAGAUCUUGCAGGACUUUAAUAGGAGGGACAGGUUAAGGAAGAAAAUCCCAAUGCACCCCAGUGGUAAAAACAGGAAAAAGCAUUCUGGGGUGAAUUUAAAUACUACCUAUUAGAAUAAAAGCAAAGUGGAUGAAUUGACCAACACUGGGUGGGGUUAAUGAGAGAAAGCUCCAAGGGAGGAAGUAAGUUUUCAGUAGAGGUUGAAGCAGGGGCAGGGCCAUGGCUGGGGCAGAGGGAAGAGGAACUAUAUACUGUGGGGGAGGUGGCAUGUCUUUGGGAAGGGUGCUGUGGCUACACAGUGGCCCUGGAAGCUGUGUCUCACUUGACAGUCAUGUUCAGAGUUAGUAUCAAUGGACUGAGGUAAAUUUUCAAGGAAGAGUCAUGUUCGAUAUUGACAUCAGAAGUGUGGUCUGGGCACACCCACUUUGGAACGAGCACACCCUGGAUCCAGUCAAGUCUGAGUUCACCUCUGAGCGAGGCCACUUAUAAUCUGGUCAACCUCACAGGUCUCACCUCCCUGAACUGUAAAAUGAGGAAAUUAUUUCAUAAGGCUCUGGUGAGGAUGAAAUACAGGGAGAUAACGGACACAAAGUGUUUAGUUCCUUACCUGAUAAAGAAGGGCUCCUGAGUGUUCGAGUGGUUGGGAAAACAAGGUCUACUGCUCACAGGCCAGAAUGACAGCUAGGGGAAACGGCUUCAAGUUCUCAAAAGGGAAAGUGUAGCUUGGGGGUGCCUAGAUCCUGAGCUCAGCCAAUCGGUCUCCGUCUCCAUGUGUUCCUGUGAUGAAGUCAGCCCAGAUCUGCACACAGCUCAAAGGCUGGAUCUAAUUGAUGCUUGUCUGUAGAGCUAAAUAUCAGCCUCUGAGGCUAGUCUGCUGCAGACUGAGCCCUCACUACCAAGAUUUAGUGAAUGGCUCAACGCUGAAUGGAGUUAAUGAGAAGCAGAAAUUUCCAGCCACACGUGUGCUGAUAAACGUGGAACAACCUACCGUCUGGAUUUGUGUAGUGUUCACCUAUUUCCAUGGUGCAAAUGGUUGCUCUGAGGCUGAUGCCAGGCUACCAGGAUGAUGUUUCUGACUGUGGAGCUAGGAAGAGAUGCUUUCUCAGCUCUCGCACACCCCUGCAUCCAUACCCCCAUCCCUGAAGCUGGCUGAAGCUCCUCUCACAGCAGGGUGGGCUCCUGUUCUUCAGGCCAGGCUUUCUUGCCUUAUUCCUGUCCGGAGGAGUUGAAGGGGAAGGGAGGGGAGGCAUUCCUACUUUCUCCUCUGUCCUGUGCUCGGCAGAAGUAUAGCUUCCCACCCAGGAGCCACUUCCUCUCUGUCCAGUUCCAGACUGAUGAGCAAGUCCAUUUUCCCCAUGAGC
rnacentral:lncRNA from 1 species